AGCGAACGCUGGCGGCAGGCCUAACACAUGCAAGUCGAGCGGCCCUUCGGGGCAGCGGCGGACGGGUGAGUAACGCGUGGGAACGUGCCCUUUGGUACGGAACAACUGAGGGAAACUUCAGCUAAUACCGUAUGUGCCCUACGGGGGAAGGAUUUAUCGCCAUUGGAGCGGCCCGCGUUAGAUUAGCUAGUUGGUAGGGUAAUGGCCUACCAAGGCGACGAUCUAUAGCUGGUCUGAGAGGAUGAUCAGCCACACUGGGACUGAGACACGGCCCAGACUCCUACGGGAGGCAGCAGUGGGGAAUCUUGCGCAAUGGGCGAAAGCCUGACGCAGCCAUACCGCGAAUGAUGAAGGUCUUAGGAUUGUAAAAUUCUUUCACCGGGGACGAUAAUGACGGUACCCGGAGAAGAAGCCCCGGCUAACUUCAUGCCAGCAGCCGCCGUAAUAC
rnacentral:rRNA from 1 species